AGAGUUUGAUCAUGGCUCAGGAUGAACGCUAGCUACAGGCUUAACACAUGCAAGUCGAGGGGAAACGACAUCGAAAGCUUGCUUUUGAUGGGCGUCGACCGGCGCACGGGUGAGUAACGCGUAUCCAACCUGCCCAUCACUUGGGGAUAACCUUGCGAAAGUAAGACUAAUACCCAAUGAUAUCUCUAGAAGGCAUCUGAAAGAGAUUAAAGAUUUAUCGGUGAUGGAUGGGGAUGCGUCUGAUUAGCUUGUUGGGGGGUAACCCCCCCGGNACCAAAGCAACGAUCAGUAGGGGUUCUGAGAGGAAGGUCCCCCCACAUUGGAACUGAGACACGGUCCAAACUCCUACGGGAGGCA
rnacentral:rRNA from 1 species